CUCCUUUAGGGUCAUGGUGAGAAAAUCAGUCCUUCCACAAAUAUGCAGAGUAUUUUUUGUGAUUGUUGCGGACAAAAAUCCUUGAUUAUACGGCACGUUUUAUUAAAAAAUGCAAUGGAAUAUGCGGGAUAUUUAUGCAAUUUUAUGCAAUGAAAUUGCUGGAACUUGCAAAAACUGCAGUUUGAUGAAAAAGAGACUGUCUUGUUGCGUAAUUAUGUUACUUCAUAACAUUCCCAUGGCAACAGGGGAAAAUGGCUGCUCUUGUGUGAAGUAAACGCAACAUUUUUCAACUUUCUGCUAAGAUAUAUGUGACUUUUUUUGCUACGGAAAUGCAGGAAUUAUGAAAUGAUGCAAGCCCCGCAUUACUUUGAACAGAAAUCAGCAAUUUAUGCAGCAAAAGUGCGGCAUUUAAAAAAAAAUGCAGCCCCCGCAUAAAUAUGCAGACUUUGGCUGCUAAUGCAUUGAAUUAUGCAAUCGCAUAAUCACGUUCUUCUGGAGGGAAUGGCAAAUGAUGUUUGGGUUUAGGA